rnacentral:lncRNA from 1 species
AUUUUCAUAGUCAUGCCAAACUUCAGAUAUUCAUCAUGACCAUGACUUAUUUCUACAUGAUAUCCUUCAUGGGAGUUUUAGGCAGAGAGAAAAUGCUCAGCUUAGCAUAAGGCUUCUAUUGAAAAUUUUUAGAAUUGACGAGAUAGUGUAAUUUUAAGCCUAAAAAUUGAAUGUAACGCCGUCUUAUUUACCAUUUGUCCCAUUGUAAAACUCAAGACAAUUUUAGACCUCAAAAGUUCUUUAAAGUACUUGAAAUCAAAACCCCUUAAACAAGUGAAAAUUCAGUCUUGAUAAUAAAAUCUUAUUGGUUAGGUUACCAUAUUAUAUAACAUGUAAUUUACUAGGUAUGACAUGAUCUUGUCACAAAGAUUUACUUGUUUCAUUCAUUGAUAGGUUUUAUCAGAUUCAUAUUUUAGCAUUCUGAUUUUAAUCUCUCUGCUGUAUUGUUCCUAUAACGAAACAUUUUAAAAAUGAAAAUGCAUUUACCUGAAGAUGUAUUUGAAAGGAACAGUAUACUUGGCCAAAAAAACCAGAUCUUUUUGUUUUUAAAAAAAAAAAAAUGAGUUUCCAGUAAAGGGUACCAUAUAUGUUGUUAUGCCUAUUUGUUUGAGAUGGCAACAGGUCUAUCAAUUGAACAUGCAUAUAUCAUGGCUGACAUCUGUUUCAUAUUGACAGGUAAGUAGAGGCUUACUAUUAAUAUGUUUUGUGAAAAAGCAUUUAAACAUAGUACUCUAGCUUGUAAAUUAAAUUUUUACUGUUUCAGGUGUGUUCUGUUGGGUUUUUUUGUCAUUUCACAAAUCACUUUACUAAUUGUAACAAAAAGCAGUCCUAGAAAUUGCCCUCUUACCCAGAACUAUUGUUAAGCUCAUGUAGGUGCUACUGAUUUUGAUUUUAAAAGAAGCCUCUCUAUGAAAAAAUAAAACCCACCAGAGCAUGCACUUGAAAUGGAAUUUAAAUUGCAAGUAAAAACUUUGCUAAUUUUAUUGUUACUGUACAAAAACUUGAUCAUGUGGGCUCUUUGUUCCUGAAAGUUUAUGGCAUUUUGCUAUUUGACAGGUCCCCUAGCUAAUCUCUCUUGUUGUUUUUUUUUUUUUUUUUCCCAUCAGCCA